UCAUAUAUAAUCUCCAUAAUCUUAAGCUAUGCUAAAAGUGGCAUGGACACAUCCAGAAUCUCAUUCUUCAUAAAGUUAUAAGAAUCUAGAUCUUAUGAACCAUGACAUGUGUUAUGAUACUACUUUCCAUGAGUCUCCAAUAACAUUAAUGAAUGAUGUAACUUAUCAAGUAUGAGCCUAAAAUGGCUAAUUCAUAAUUCAUAAUUCAUGAUCCUUAAAUGGCUAACUCGAGACAUUUGCAUAAAGCAGCUAACAUAUGAAUGCUAGUCAAGAAAG
rnacentral:lncRNA from 1 species